UACGUAGGGGGCAAGCGUUGUCCGGAAUCAUUGGGCGUAAAGAGCGCGUAGGCGGCCCUGUAAGUCCGCUGUGAAAGUCAAGGGCUCAACCCUUGAAUGCCGGUGGAUACUGCAGGGCUAGAGUCCGGAAGAGGCGAGUGGAAUUCCUGGUGUAGCGGUGAAAUGCGCAGAUAUCAGGAAGAACACCCGUGGCGAAGGCGGCUCUCUGGUACGUGACUGACGCUGAGACGCGAAAGCGUGGGGAGCGAACAGG
rnacentral:rRNA from 1 species